UACGGGGGGGGCAAGCGUUGUUCGGAAUUACUGGGCGUAAAGGGCUCGUAGGUUGCCAACUAAGUCGGACGUGAAAUCCCUCGGCUUAACCGGGGAACUGCGUCCGAUACUGGAUGGCUGGAGUUUGGGAGAGGGAUGCGGAAUUCCAGGUGUAGCGGUGAAAUGCGUAGAUAUCUGGAGGAGCACCGGUGGCGAAGGCGGCAUCCUGGACCAAUACUGACACUGAGGAGCGAAAGCCAGGGGAGCAAACGGG
rnacentral:rRNA from 1 species